GAUGAACGCUGGCGGCGUGCCUAAUACAUGCAAGUCGAGCGAACGGACGAGAGGCUUGCUUCUUUGAUGUUAUCGGCGGGCGUGUGUGUCACAUGUGGAUACCCUACCUAUACGACUGGGAUAACUUCGAAACGCCGGCUCUAACCGCGGGAAAUCUUUUGUACCACAUUGAUCAAAAAAAAGAGACAAUCUUUCUAUUACUUAUUGAUGCAUCCGCGCUGCAUUAGCUAGUUGGUAAGGUAACGGCUUACCAAGGCAACGAUGCAUAGCCGACCUGAGAGGGUGAUCGGCCACACUGGAACUGAGACACGGUCCAGACUCCUACGGGAGGCAGCAGUAGGGAAUCUUCCGCAAUGGGCGAAAGCCUGACGGAGCAACGCCGCGUGAGUGAUGAAGGUCUUCGGAUCGUAAAACUCUGUUAUUAGGGAAGAACAGAUGUGUAAGUAACUGUGCACAUCUUGACGGUACCUUAUCAGAAAGCCACGGCUAACUACGUG
rnacentral:rRNA from 1 species